ensembl:snRNA U6 U6 spliceosomal RNA
GUGCUCACUUCAGCAUCACAUAAACUAAAAUAGAAAUGAUACAUAGAAAAUUAGCAUGACCCCUGUGCAAGGAUGACAUGCAAAUUUGUGAAGCAUUCCAUGAUUUU